rnacentral:rRNA from 1 species
AUUGAACGCUGGCGGAAUGCUUUACACAUGCAAGUCGAACGGCAGCACGGGGGCAACCCUGGUGGCGAGUGGCGAACGGGUGAGUAAUACAUCGGAACGUGCCCAGUCGUGGGGGAUAACGUAGCGAAAGUUACGCUAAUACCGCAUACGAUCUACGGAUGAAAGCGGGGGACCGUAAGGCCUCGCGCGAUUGGAGCGGCCGAUGUCAGAGUAGGUAGUUGGUGAGGUAAAGGCUCACCAAGCCGACGAUCUGUAGCGGGUCUGAGAGGACGACCAGCCACACUGGGACUGAGACACGGCCCAGACUCCUACGGGAGGCAGCAGUGGGGAAUUUUGGACAAUGGGCGCAAGCCUGAUCCAGCCAUUCCGCGUGCAGGACGAAGGCCUUCGGGUUGUAAACUGCUUUUGUACGGAGCGAAAAGGCUCUGGUUAAUACCUGGGGCUCAUGACGGUACCGUAAGAAUAAGCACCGGCUAACUACGUGCCAGCCGCCGCGGUAA